GUGAGAGCAGGCGGCGGGGAAGCCGGAGAGCAGACAGGGAGGGCUGGGAGCACAGCCUUGGAGCCUGGAAUUGACGGCAUGAAUGAAACGUCCUGGGAGGGCCACAAUAGAAAAACAUCAGGGCCCAUGCUGUACCUCAUGAGGACUGCCUUUAUAGGCCUCCCACCACCUCCGACUCCUGAGGUCAGAGUUCUUGUUGCCAGCCUGGGGUUCGGAGAGCAGAGGUCCAAGUGGCUGCGGAACCCAGAGUCAGGCCCUACCUAGGGCUUGGUGCCAGGCUCAGCUCGCCCCUCGGGUCAUCGGUGAACCAGUACACUCGGCGGGGGUUGCCUCCUGGAGCAGGUCCUGGCCUGUCUGCGGACUGACCGGACUGGCCUGCCGUGCGACAGGCCGCCUCUGAGAUCCAGAUCUGCUCCCAGACAGCCCCACCUCCAUCAGCGUCACCGCCUCCAGGAGCCGGAGCUGGUUCUCGAAGCACUGCUGGAGGAUGUGCCCAGGGUAGAGAACUCCCUGCCAUUCCCGGAGCCCGUGGCAAAGUUGGUGUUAGUGGCGGUGGCCUGGGCAGGAGACUCCAGCUGGCGGCGUGACCCG
rnacentral:lncRNA from 1 species